rnacentral:miRNA from 1 species
AUGCACAGGCUCAAUGCACACA